AAAAAAUAUCUCUGACUAUCUCAAGCUAUAGGCAUUCCUGGACUGAGGACUGUCUUCUGCCAUUUUCUAGCAAAGCUGUAAAUGCCACUAGUACUCUGAUGCCAGAUUAUUAAAUUAUAGAAUCAUAGAAUCAUUUAGGUUGAGAAAAGCCCUUAAGAUCAUCAAGUCCAGCCAUCCUCUAACACUUGUUCACAAUAAGUCCACAACAAAGCCACAUCCCUAAAUAUUACAUAUACAUCAACUGUAUUGCAGCCUCCUUAGGAAGUAAUGAGUAUUCUUUCUUUCCUUCCUUCCUUUUGUUCUAUCUUUUUGCCUGCAAAUACUGUCUAAUUUAUUUUUUUUCUGUUUCCCCUGCACAAACCAGCCCAUGGAGACUUUGUCUGGUGGCUCAUCUAGAAAAUCUAAGAAUUUGCACUGAUUAUCCUCCUGUAUCAAAGGUGGCGUUUUUUAGUGUCUUUGUUUUAUUCUGGGGAAUAUCAGAGCUAUAUUCUGCCAAGAAAGUGAGUAAAUCUGUCCCCAGGCAGAAAGUAAAGGUGCAGAGCUCUGCCCUGGGGUCCCACAGAAGUGAAGCCAGCAGCAAGGGCUACUGGCUUGGGCUUCAGAAAAAGGUAGGAUUUAUAACAGACUUUGUGCAACAUUUCUUUUUAUCUAGUACUAAAUUGUUUUCUGCUCAGUUGGUCAUCUGAAUCACUAGUUUUAUGAAUCUAAUUCUUUCUUAAGCUUUAAGAGGGAAUAUAUGCAUCUUCCAUAGAGUUCCAGUUUCCCUCUGAAGGGCAGGAAUAGAUUCGUGACCAUCUUAGCACUUUAUUGCAGUAGCUCUUUUUUACUACAUAAGGCAAAAGCUAUCUUCACUAAUCUAAACAGUUUUAUGCAAUCUAUGACUAAAAAAAAAUUUAAAAGGCUAUACACAGAAGAAUAGACAAAUAGCACAAUGAGUUAGGCAGGAAAAUACACACAGAGCUCCCCUGUGCCAUUCCUGUGACAUGUCCCUAGGGACUUCUCCAACCACUCACCUGCAUAGCCAGGUUGUUCUUGUUUCAGCACAUAGCAAUGUUCAGUUUUGCUCAUAAUCUAAU
ensembl:lncRNA